rnacentral:rRNA from 1 species
AUGAAUCACGAAGAUGGCGCUGAUCCUUGGGUUUCUCAAAGGCCAGAAACGCCCCCUUGGGAUGCAGCAGAGUACAGUCAACUCAUUUCUGCAGGGCCGUUGCUGCCACUACUAGAGCAGUACGCAGGCAUUGGUUCUUAUGACCAAAACACACUCAGGGGGGCACCAUGGCAAGUUCAGUCACAGGGCGCUAACACUGACAAAUGUACGGGCAGCCAACUUCAACUAGCUAAUGUGGCAAAUCAAGAACCUUCAUGCAGCACGUGGCAUCAGGCGGCACCCAUGUACCUGCCAUCGACGUCAUACACAGGUUAUUACGGUGGUGCUACCUCGGCAAACGUCUCAUGGCAAGCUUCACAGAUUGCAGACAGAGCACGUCAAUUUGGUGUGACAGACCACACAAGAUGGGCACAUGCGGCACAACAAGGGCCUUCAACUACAAUCAACAGCGGCGCGGGGACAUCUACUGCGGGGAGCUCUGAGCGCACGGAAGACGCGUUCCACCAGCCAGCCAACAAUCAUGCUGCAAACAAUGCCGAGUCAGAGUGGGAAAUGGCAAUCAUUCCAGCAAUGCCGACAAGCACACCUUUGAACACAAGCACUGGCAACACUCAAGUAGAUGAAAGUGCCGCCGAUACUGAAGUGAAUGAUGAAACUGAUGACGAAGCACAAGGGGAUGAAGAUGGUGGGAAAUCAGAGAUCAUGGUACCCCAGCCACCGUAUCUUGGGCAGAGAUUUGAAUCGUUCGCAGAGGCAAAGGAAUUCUACCAGACAUAUGCAAAGUUCCAUGGAUUUGCGGUCAACACCGAAUACCAUAGGAAAAUUAAGAAAACUAACGAGUACAACAGAGGUGAGAUGAGGUGCCACAAGGCACGAAGGAACAAGAAGGGGAAAGGUGUUGCGCCUGUCGUUCCGGAACGAAAGAGAGGUAUCAUUCUCAAGACGGAAUGCCCUGUCCGGUGUAAGCUAAACGUAGAUGGAGCACAGUGGGUGGUCACUGAAUAUUUUGACGAGCACAACCACAAACUCAUAAAGAAGUUCGACCUGGUAAAAUUUCUGACCGCCCACAGAGGAUUCACCCCCCUCGAGAAGAAAUUCAUAAAGCUGCUCAUGAUUGUAACAUUCCAGGAAGAAAUAAAGCGUGCCAGCAUGUACACGGCUUUCCAGGUGGACGAACAUACGUUCAAGGUGUGUUCUAUCAUGGGCAUGUCGGAUUCAGAACCUGAAGACCCAGACAAGGGAAGGAACUACUUUGUGAAGGCAUCGAUAAGCGAAGGCAAAUACUACUGCCAAUGCUGCAAAUUCGAACGGGACGGGAUUGUGUGCUGUCACAUUCUAAAAGUAAUGGACUUGAACGCGGUGACACGAAUGCCCCGCCAUUUCAUAAGGUGGCGAUGGACUUGGGACGCUGACGACGCAUUGGCGCCGCAAACAUCAAACGCAGUUUUGGCCGUGCAUGACGAGAGACCAGAGUCAACCAUGGAAGCCGUGAGGCACGUUGUGUUGACAAAGAACUAUGCUGAACUAAUUGAUGAAGCGUGCAAGAGUGAUGAGACAGCAAAGGUCGCAGAAAAACACAGGAAGGCCCUCAAAAGAGAGCUUGAUGAGAUCAAGAAGAGGAAAGCUAAGGAAGCCUUACACAGGUUCCCCCGCACAUCAAGUGUGCCUUCGUCCACAGGGCCAUCAUCUGAAAACUCGGAGGUAAGAUCUGGAACAGCAAGCACACAAACACAAGUUAGGAACCCGCCCCGUUCCAUCACAAAAGGGCGUCCAAAAGAGAUAAGAUACAAAUCGGGAUUGGAGAUUCAAGCAAAACAUAAGAAACCAAAGAAAGGGACGGACAAUCCGUAA